rnacentral:rRNA from 1 species
AGAGUUUGAUCAUGGCUCAGGACGAACGCUGGCGGCGUGCUUAACACAUGCAAGUCGAACGGUAAGGCCCUUCGGGGUACACGAGUGGCGAACGGGUGAGUAACACGUGGGUGAUCUGCCCUGCACUUUGGGAUAAGCCUGGGAAACUGGGUCUAAUACCGAAUAUGACUCCGGGAUGCAUGUCUUGGGGUGGAAAGCUUUUGCGGUGUGGGAUGGGCCCGCGGCCUAUCAGCUUGUUGGUGGGGUGAUGGCCUACCAAGGCGACGACGGGUAGCCGGCCUGAGAGGGUGUCCGGCCACACUGGGACUGAGAUACGGCCCAGACUCCUACGGGAGGCAGCAGUGGGGAAUAUUGCACAAUGGGCGCAAGCCUGAUGCAGCGACGCCGCGUGAGGGAUGACGGCCUUCGGGUUGUAAACCUCUUUCAGCAGGGACGAAGCGCAAGUGACGGUACCUGUAGAAGAAGCACCGGCCAACUACGUGCCAGCAGCCGCGGUAAUACGUAGGGUGCGAGCGUUGUCCGGAAUUACUGGGCGUAAAGAGCUCGUAGGUGGUUUGUCGCGUUGUUCGUGAAAACUCACAGCUCAACUGUGGGCGUGCGGGCGAUACGGGCAGACUGGAGUACUGCAGGGGAGACUGGAAUUCCUGGUGUAGCGGUGGAAUGCGCAGAUAUCAGGAGGAACACCGGUGGCGAAGGCGGGUCUCUGGGCAGUAACUGACGCUGAGGAGCGAAAGCGUGGGGAGCGAACAGGAUUAGAUACCCUAGUAGUCC